AGCGGCGAGCUAUACAUGCAAGUCGAGCGAAUGGAUUGAGAGCUUGCUCUUAUGAAGUUAGCGGCGGACGGGUGAGUAACACGUGGGUAACCUGCCCAUAAGACUGGGAUAACUCCGGGAAACCGGGGCUAAUACCGGAUAACAUUUUGAACUGCAUGGUUCGAAAUUGAAAGGCGGCUUCGGCUGUCACUUAUGGAUGGACCCGCGUCGCAUUAGCUAGUUGGUGAGGUAACGGCUCACCAAGGCAACGAUGCGUAGCCGACCUGAGAGGGUGAUCGGCCACACUGGGACUGAGACACGGCCCAGACUCCUACGGGAGGCAGCAGUAGGGAAUCUUCCGCAAUGGACGAAAGUCUGACGGAGCAACGCCGCGUGAGUGAUGAAGGCUUUCGGGUCGUAAAACUCUGUUGUUAGGGAAGAACAAGUGCUAGUUGAAUAAGCUGGCACCUUGACGGUACCUAACCAGAAAGCCACGGCUAACUACGUGCCAGCAGCCGCGGUAAUACGUAGGUGGCAAGCGUUAUCCGGAAUUAUUGGGCGUAAAGCGCGCGCAGGUGGUUUCUUAAGUCUGAUGUGAAAGCCCACGGCUCAACCGUGGAG
rnacentral:rRNA from 1 species